UCCCCCCAGCCUGGCAGUACGGUGGGGGAAACACCUGUUGGGGGGCUGGGAGUGGCAGAGCCCCCCGGGGCCUCUCCCCGGCGCCCCCGCCCGCCCUGCCCCUCUCGGGUCCCGCCCCCGCGGCCGCCGCCAGCAGAGCCGCGCGUGAGCGCACCGCGGCCAGAGGAGCGCACGGCUGCCGGAGCGCACGGCCGGGGACCCCGCGCAGGGAAGCGAGCCGAGAACGGGGCUGCCCGAGAGGCGGGCGGAGCAGANCCGGGCCGCGCCAGGCUGGUGAGUGCGGCCGCGGCGUGUGGGAGCCAGCCCGCCGGUCCCGGGCUCUGCCCCCGCCGCCCUGUUCCCGCGCCUCCUCGGUGCGAGUCCUCUGCGCCUCUGCCCCGUCUCUCCGUCUGUUUUUCCCUGUCUCUGUCCCUGUUUCUAUUUACAGUCUCGCCUUGUUUCUUUCUAAUCUCUUCUCUCUUCAGUCUCUGUCUCCUGCUGCGUCGGGCUUUCCUUGUCUCUCUCAACCACUGUCUCACUAUUUCUCUCUCCACCUCUGUCUCUGUCCCUCUCUGGACUGCCUGUCACUCCAGUCUUGUAUUUAUCUCUUGCUCCUCUUUCUUACCUUCCCUCUCUACCCACUAUCUCUGUCCAUCUCAUUUCUCCCCACCUGUCUCUCUCUUCUUAUCUCUGCCUGAUAUCUCUGUCUCUCCCCACCUCUGUCUCUCUGCCUCUCAGUCUCAUCUUUCUUUCUAUUUCUAUAUCUCUCCUGUCAUUGUCUCUCCCUUGGAUCUCGCUCGUGUGCUCUCCUCCCCCCUUCCCCUCCCUUUCUCUGUUUCUUCGUCCUUGUCACCCUCUCUGAUCUGCUUGGUCUCUAUCUAUCCUCUGUCAGUGUUCAUUUCUGUCUCUUUUGGGUCUGGGCUCGUGUCUCUCCUGCUCUUUCUACUUCUGUCUCUUCUUCUGUCUCUGUCCAUCUCUGAGAAAGCUAUCUUUCUGCUUUUUUCUUAUGGCCCCCGACACUUCCCUGAAUCAAUGACCACCUCCUCUUGUGCUGGGGGUUAUGGGGACAGCAGGGCCCAACACUCAUAA
rnacentral:lncRNA from 1 species